CCUACGGGGGGCAGCAGUGGGGAAUAUUGCACAAUGGGGGAAACCCUGAUGCAGCAACGCCGCGUGAGUGAUGAAGGUUUUCGGAUCGUAAAGCUCUGUCUUUGGGGAAGAUAAUGACGGUACCCAAGGAGGAAGCCACGGCUAACUACGUGCCAGCAGCCGCGGUAAUACGUAGGUGGCGAGCGUUAUCCGGAUUUACUGGGCGUAAAGGGAGCGUAGGCGGAUGAUUAAGUGGGAUGUGAAAUACCCGGGCUCAACUUGGGUGCUGCAUUCCAAACUGGUUAUCUAGAGUGCAGGAGAGGAGAGUGGAAUUCCUAGUGUAGCGGUGAAAUGCGUAGAGAUUAGGAAGAACACCAGUGGCGAAGGCGACUCUCUGGACUGUAACUGACGCUGAGGCUCGAAAGCGUGGGGAGCAAACAGGAUUAGAUACCCUUGUAGUC
rnacentral:rRNA from 1 species